UAUUUGGAAGGAAUGAAGAUGUGCUUGUGGGACUUGUAUGUUGCCUUUGCAGCUUUAUGACUCAGUGGUUGAAUAAACUUGGUUUGAGCUUUUUCUAGUCGCCCGUGAGUUUUGUUGCCAAUGUUGAUAGGAUUUGUUUUGUUUUGUUGCCAAUGUUGACAGGAUUAACCAAUAUUUAUAGUUGAACUGGAGAGUUCAAAUCAGUAGAACAGGAGCCAGCACAUAAAAACAAGGUAGGCAAAGUUCCUAUCCUCAUCCAUGGUUGGAAAAGCAAAAGGAUAUUAGAACGGUGUUUUGAAGUGAUUUGUGUGUAUUAGCAGUAACAAUAAGGAGAGGUGUUGGUUUAAUGUCUUACUGGGGUGGGGAACCGUGACAGAUUAUGUUGAAAUAGGAGGACAACUGAGUAAAUUUGGUAACGUGUGUUGUCAACAACAGUAAUAUUUGAGGCGUGACACUGGUAUAAGGCAUUAGGUCUCCUGUAUUCUCCAGUAGUAAAUUGUCAGAUGCUUCAGUAUCGUUUUUAAAACAAGGUAUCAGGUUCGGUGUCUAAAUUAUUAAGCACCUAUACUGUAAGUAUUCUCCGGGAAGUGGGUAUCACUACCUGGAAAAAUAGUUUAAAUUGUUGUGUGUUAGAGCCGUGGGUGAGGAAAUCUUAACACCCUAGACACCGUCGGGAGAAGCAUCUGUUACAUCUGCUCCUGCCACUCCCUCUACUGAUCAUCCUGUGUCUCCUUGACCUGCCGCCACUCCCCCAGUGCUCUCUCUCUCUCCCUCUCCCUCUGUGUGUGUGAUUGUGUGGGCAGAGACAGGUGUGCUGGAGUCAGAGCAGAUCCCCACCAGCUGCAACCUGUUCUAUAAUCAAGACCUCUACAAAUACUCAAACCUGCCACUUCCACUGCCAGAUCGUAAUCUCUGCUCAUUCUGCCCGCUCUGACUCAGGUUCCUCUCUCCAGUCUCCUCAUCCUGCUACUCUGCCCUGGAUUACCCACUCUACUGCUCCCUUGGAUUCCCCUCAGGACCUGCUUACCCUGUCCCAACACCUCUCGCUCCAGCCUCAGCCUCCGCACCUGGUUUCCUGCAACGCGCCCGAGCUUCCCCUGGCCUGCACUCCAUCUUCCCCCUGUGUUUCAAUAAAUAUCUUGGUUACGUGAUCCUAGUCUCCUCAUCUGAGUCUGCUCUUGGGUUUCCCUGUACCACUCCGCAUAACAGCGUCAGAAUAAUAACUAUUGAAAUGGCGACCGACAGCCCCGAUCCUCCCUUUAAAGGGGGGGCUAGAGGAAAAAAAGUUUAACAAAGCCAUAGAGGAGCUGAAAGAGACGCAUGAGCAAUCUACCAAUUCGGCUUGAAUAUGGGUCAUUUUUUGCUAAAUUGAUCAAAUUGGUCAGCUUCCCCAUUGAUGGAAAAUUUAAAUCUAAUAAAGAAUUCUGAGAUGCUAUUGUGAGUUGGCACAAUGACAUAAAAUACAAAAUAAAAAUCUCAAUAAA